GUGUUUCUCGCUCGAGUAUGAUAUGCUAUUGUACAGAUUGUUCCAGUUUCUGAUUGUGACGUAUUGACUGUGGUUAACCAUGCUUUCUCAGUAAUUUUUGGUGCCUUUAUUUGUCUCUUCUCAAUCUAUUUAAAACAUUUUAAACCACUGUCGUAAAAAUGUAUAGUCAUCCAUUUGCAAUAGGAAAAAAUAGAUUUUAGGUGUAAUGUAGAUUUACUGACCAGACUCAAGCAUCGCACGACGAAAAUCAAGUACCAG
rnacentral:lncRNA from 1 species